UACGUAGGGUGCAAGCGUUAAUCGGAAUUACUGGGCGUAAAGCGUGCGCAGGCGGUUUUGUAAGUCUGUCGUGAAAUCCCCGGGCUUAACCUGGGAAUUGCGAUGGAGACUGCAAGGCUAGAAUCUGGCAGAGGGGGGUAGAAUUCCCGGUGUAGCGGUGAAAUGUGUAGAGAUCGGGAGGAACACCGGUGGCGAAGGCGGCCAUCUGGGACAACACUGACGCUGAAGCACGAAAGCGUGGGGAGCAAACAGG
rnacentral:rRNA from 1 species